rnacentral:rRNA from 1 species
GAUGAACGCUGGCGGCGUGCCUAAUACAUGCAAGUCGAGCGAACGGACGAGAAGCUUGCUUCUCUGAUGUUAGCGGCGGACGGGUGAGUAACACGUGGAUAACCUACCUAUAAGACUGGGAUAACUUCGGGACACCGGAGCUAAUACCGGAUAAUAUUUUGCACCGCAUGGUUCAAAAGUGAAAGACGGUCUUGCUGUCACUUCUCGAUGGAUCCGCGCUGCAUUAGCUAGUUGGUAAGGUAACGGCUUACCAAGGCAACGAUGCAUAGCCGACCUGAGAGAGUGAUCGGCGACACUGGAACUGAGACACGGUCCAGACUCCUACGGGAGGCACCAGUAGGGAAUCUGCCGCAAUGGGCGAAAGCCUGACGGAGCAACGCCGCGUGAGUGAUGAAGGUCUUCGGAUCGUAAAACUCUGUUAUUAGGGAAGAACAUAUUUGUAAGUAACUGUGCACAUCUUGACGGUACCUAAUCAGAAAGCCACGGCUAACUACGUG